rnacentral:other from 1 species
UGUCCCCUGCGGGGCGCGUGAUGCCCAGCAGAAAUUCGAACCGAUACGUCCAUCACGGGGGCCGUUUCGGGUUCCAUGCGCAAGCCCUCCCUCCUCGCGGGGGAUGAGGGAAGCCUACGGAGCCAUGACUUCGGUCCCCACCUGGCUUCUAGAGGGUUCAAUGGACGCUGGGCACACGGCCAUGCGGCGGGGGACUU